UUUAAGGGUUGCCAGUGGAGGUGAGGGUAUCUUGCUGAAGAUCUAUGCUUAUUUGAGGUCUUUCAUAGGUUCAGCUCUCAGAGCGUUCCCCAAAGAUGAAGUUAUAUCCUUUGUUCUGGGAUUUGCCGGCCUGCCAGAAUUCUAGAAGAGUGAGCAGUAUGAACAAUGAAGGCGCUUACACUAAAGACAAAGGCAGAGGUUCCCAGAUGAUGAUACAAUAAAGAUAGAGGAAGGAACAUGAACCAGAAUAGGACAGAAUGACUGCGUUUCCAGAUCUCACAUCAAGAAGGAGCCAAGAUGUAGUUAGUCUAUGGAACUAGGCCUGAAGGCUCAGCAACAUAGAGGUGAUCAGAGAAUACCUCAGCCUGGAGGGGAACAGUGACCCAAGUAUCGCUGAUUACUGGAUUCUUACAGAUAGGAGCAAAAUGUUGAUACUUUUGCUGGCUACUACACUGAUGACUAUUAAUGCUCUUCCUAUGCAAGUCUGUAUGCCUAGUUCAAAUGGGAAUUUGAAACAGUUUCCACUUUUUCACUUUAACAGAAUUUGUGAUAUCUGUUGCUUCUCCUUUAGAUUCUAUAUAACUGCCCUAUUUUGCUGUAUAUUAUCCUACAAAGGAGGCUAGUUUGACUAGAAGACAAAUGUAUAGUUAUGUGUACAUAUUCAUUAUACAUAUGCAUUAUACAUAACAAAGAUAAUUAUUUCUUUUUGUUUUUGAUGGGGAUAUAAAAGAGGUGACUAGCCAAAAUAUAUAUAUGAU
ensembl:lncRNA